GGCUGUUCGCCAUUUAAAGCGGUACGUGAGUUGGGUUCAGAACGUCGUGAGACAGUUCGGUCCCUAUCUGCCGUGGGUGUAGGAAUAUUGAGAGGAUCUGUCCCUAGUACGAGAGGACCGGGAUGGACGUAUCACUGGUGGACCUGUUGUCGUGCCAACGGCAUAGCAGGGUAGCUAUAUACGGAACGGAUAACCGCUGAAGGCAUCUAAGCGGGAAACCGACCUCGAAACGAGUAUUCCCUGAGAGUCGUGGAAGACGACCACGUUGAUAGGCCGGGUGUGGAAGCGCAGUAAUGUGUGAAGCUUACCGGUACUAAUAGCUCGAUCGGCUUGAUUGUUCUCAUU
rnacentral:rRNA from 1 species